rnacentral:rRNA from 1 species
AGCAGUCGCCACGGUAAUACGAGGGGGGCAAGCGUUGUUCGGAAUUAUUGGGCGUAAAGGGCGCGUAGGCGGCUUUGCUAGUCUUGUGUGAAAUCUCUGGGCUCAACCUGGGAACUGCAUUUGUGACUGGCAAGCUAGAGUAUGGCAGAGGGGGGUGGAAUUCCGCGUGUAGCAGUGAAAUGCGUAGAUAUGCGGAGGAACACCGAUGGCGAAGGCAGCCCCCCGGGCCAAUACUGACGCUCAUGCACGAAAGCGUGGGGAGCAAACAGGAUUAGAUACCCCUGUAGUCCCUGUCUCUUAUAC